GCCGCGAUCGCGUAACCUGGUAUCGCACAGGACUGGAAAUCCUGGCCCUCACGGGCAUCCCGGUUCAAAUCCGGGUCGCGGCG
rnacentral:tRNA from 1 species